CAAACAUCCUUUGGAGAGGGCACUAAUGAGGUCAUGCUCUGGAGACUUAAGGAAGUGAGCAACCAGUGAGGAAAACACAAGCAAACUAUAGGCCUUACUUGAAGUGAGAAUACAAAGAAAUCCAAAAACGAAGGAAAGGGAAAGAAUGCUCUUUGAAGACUCAGGAUAGGAGAAUUACCAAUGCAACGAAUAGAGCUUGUCUGAAAAUGAUGUUUGUCUCUAUCUUUUGCAAUAAGACCAAUAUUUAUUAAAGUAUGUUUGUG
rnacentral:lncRNA from 13 species